rfam:Clostridium cadaveris strain NLAE-zl-G419 genome assembly, contig: Ga0070261_112
GAUACCUUUAAGAUAGUCCAGAGAGACUAAAAAGGAGUAUAUAGUUUAUUUGUCUAUUGCGCCCUAAUAUCUUAAAGGAUAUUAGGGCUUUUUUAU